GGAUGUGAGGGCGAUCUGGCCACGACAUCUGUCUCCCCUUUGAUCUCCAGGGUUGAUUUGGCUGAGCUGGCUGGGUAGGCGGGUGUCCUCUUCCUCCCUCACCGCUCCAUGUGCGUCCCUCCCGAAGCUGCCCGCUGGGUCGGUCAAAGAGGACGACCACCCCCGAUAGAGGAGGACCGUAUCCUCGGUCAGCGGUAUAGGAGUAGCUGCGCUCCCCUGCUAGAACCUCGAAACAAGCUCUCAAAGUGUUAGUUUUGAAAAUACUAACAAAUUGGAAAGACUGCAAUUGAAAUUAUAACGAAAUAAUUUUUUUAGAU
rnacentral:snRNA from 1 species